rnacentral:rRNA from 1 species
GACGAACGCUGGCGGCGUGCUUAACACAUGCAAGUCGAGCGGAAAGGCCACUUCGGUGGUACUCGAGCGGCGAACGGGUGAGUAACACGUGAGUAAUCUGCCCCUCACUUUGGGAUAGCCACCGGAAACGGUGAUUAAUACCGGAUAUGACCAUAUGUCGCAUGGCGUGUGGUGGAAAGUUUUUCGGUGAGGGAUGUGCUCGCGGCCUAUCAGCUUGAUGGUGAGGUAAUGGCUCACCAUGGCAUCGACGGGUAGCCGGCCUGAGAGGGUGACCGGUCACACUGGGACUGAGACACGGCCCAGACUCCUACGGGAGGCAGCAGUGGGGAAUAUUGGACAAUGGGCGGAAGCCUGAUCCAGCAACGCCGCGUGAGGGAUGACGGCCUUCGGGUUGUAAACCUCUUUCAGUACCGACGAAGCGCAAGUGACGGUAGGUACAGAAGAAGCACCGGCCAACUACGUG